rnacentral:rRNA from 1 species
UGAACGCUAGCUACAGGCUUAACACAUGCAAGUCGAGGGGCAUCAGGGCGAUAGCUGCUAUUGCCGCUGGCGACCGGCGCACGGGUGAGUAACGCGUAUCCAACCUCCCCCUAGUAGAGGAUAGCCCGGCGAAAGUCGGAUUAAUACUCUAUGUUCUUCAAUGCGGACAUCUAACUUGAAGCAAAGAUUCAUCGCUAAGGGAUGGGGAUGCGUCUGAUUAGCUUGUCGGCGGGGUAACGGCCCACCGAGGCGACGAUCAGUAGGGGUUCUGAGAGGAAGGUCCCCCACAUUGGUACUGAGACACGGACCAAACUCCUACGGGAGGCAGCAGUGAGGAAUAUUGGUCAAUGGGCGCGAGCCUGAACCAGCCAAGUAGCGUGCAAGGAUGACUGCCCUAUGGGUUAGUAAACUGUCUUUUAUGCGGGAAUAAAGUCAGGUACGCGUACCUGUUUGUAUGUACCGCAUGAAUAAGGACCGGCUAAUUCCGUGCCAGCCGCUGC